GUGGGGCAGGGUGUCCGGGUUAUGGGUCCCUAUGGGGCAGGGUGUCCGGGUUUAGGUCCCUAUGGGGCUGGGUGCGGAUCUAUGGGGCAGAGUGUCCGGGUUAUGGGUUCCUAUGGGGCUGGGUGUGGAUCUAUGGGGCAGAGUGUCUGGGUUAUGGGUCCCUAUGGGGCUGGGCGCGGAUCUAUGGGGCAGAGUGUCCGGGUGCGGAUCUAUGGGGCACGAGGCCACGCCCCCCUGUCCCCCCCCAGAGCUGGAGGCGGCGGUUGUGGGGCUGCUGCGGGAGCUGUGGGGGCGCAGCCCCAUAGAAGUGGGGCGGGGGCUGGAGCGGCUGCCCCAUAGCGACCGCGUGCGGCUGCGGAACGCCAUGGUGAGACCCACAGCGACCCACAAGUGCCCCAUAACUGCCCCAUAGAGACCCACAGUGACCCCUAAGUGCCCCAUAGCUGCCCCAUAGAGACCCAUAGUGACCCCUAAGUGCCCCAUAACUGCCCCAUAGAGACCCACAGUGACCCCUAAGUGCCCCCUAACUGCCCCAUAGAGACCCA
rnacentral:lncRNA from 1 species